CGGGAAAUGGGCUCUCGCUUCCUGUGAUCUUCAAGACAGAAGUUAUGGGUUUUCAGGAAGAGGACCACAGAGGUCCUUGUCGUAGACUCACUGACCAUCAGCUCUUUAACUCCUCACCACUUGACAGAUAAGAAGCCUGGGGAUGAAUAAGGUACAAAGAUACAUGAGAUUGACACCAGCACCUCACUUGGUCCUUCUGUCAGAUGGUCACACACCAG